rnacentral:rRNA from 1 species
AUACGGAGGGUGCAAGCGUUAAUCGGAAUUACUGGGCGUAAAGAGUACGUAGGCGGUUUGUUAAGUUAGAUGUGAAAGCCCCGGGCUUAACCUGGGAACUGCAUUUAAAACUGGCAAACUAGAGUUGGGGAGAGGGAAGUGGAAUUUCAGGUGUAGCGGUGAAAUGCGUAGAGAUCUGAAGGAACACCAGUGGCGAAGGCGACUUCCUGGACUCAAACUGACGCUGAGGUACGAAAGCGUGGGUAGCAAACGGGAGUAGAAACCCUAGUAGUCC